AUGUCUGCAUUCUGGCACUCGGCAGAGAACAACACAUCCAGAAGAAAAGGGUUCUCCACCCCCACGGACCCUGUCAUCAUCUGCCUCACCGGGGUCGCCAUUUUUAUAGUGCUGAUCACUCCUGGAGCCAUUGCUUUGAAGUUGAGAUUGAAGAAUAGGUACUCGCCUGCUGUCUCAUUUUUGAAAGUCACCUGCAUGGGGUACCUCUGAGGUCUGGGCAGCCAGUUAUGGACGUUUACUGUCUGUGUUUGGUGGCUUUUGCAUUUGAUCGCUUCGGUUAUUGUGCCUUCAACCUUCAGGGGCUCAGCUGUGCCAUGCAAUAUGUACAGUAAUCCACUGCCAUCAGGAAAGGAGAAGAACACAGAGCCCUGCACCACAGCAGAGGGAGGUGUCAUUAACAGUGGAAAAUAACUGUUUUUUUGUACUACCAUUUUUUUUAUAAUGGCUAUUUGGACAUUUGUUUAAAAAAAUAAUUAUUGGAAAUAAUCAUCUUGUGGAGAGAGUGUCAUACCUCAUGCCCUUCCCCAUCUGCAGUCAUGACUGACGGCUUAUAUGCAAUCUCAUAGGUGUUCUGCUACAGGGGCUCAAUGAGGAGAGUGGGCGGCCCACUCCAGUGCUCUCCCUCUAUGACACAUUUCAGAGUCCAGCACUGGUUAAUGCGGCUGGGUAGAGCCAGAGACUGAGUACACUGACUGUGUACCUGACACAUGAAAUUCACCACCUGCUCACACAAAAGAGAAAGCAAGCAAGAAAAAGACAGUGAAAAUGAAUUAGCCUUGCUUUUUAACUUCAUUUCAUCGGCACAUCUCAUAUCAACAAAUAUACAAGGUUUUGACACACUGUAACAUUCAGACUUGUGUUUUCUUCUAUUUCUAUUUAACUGGACAGACAAUGCAGGAGUCAGUGAGGGUGAGUUUUAAUGGUUUGCCCCCUCUAUAGUACAGCAUACUCUUUGACUCAGCUUGGUAGGGGCAAAGGUCACUUCAAGGGAUACUUCCAUUCCUGGGGUGAUGUAGCCCUCAGCAGGGAAAAUGAUGAAAUCUGGAGCAAAGCUAUUUACAUCCCCAUUUGAAUCUGAAGAGAACAAUGAAAAUCUGAAGAUGCAAAAAUAUAUAUAUAUAUCUCUAUUUGAGUCUAUGUAAUAGUAGAAUCUAUGUCACUCAGAUUCAUUCUUUUUCAGAACCAGACACACAUUUUAGAUGCAACCAGU
ensembl:lncRNA